UUGUUCCCGCAAAUCCCGCUGCCGUCCUCGCGGCCGCUGCGACCCCGGACACCGCGCCAGCAACGCCCGCGGAUGGAAGGUUGCCGCGCCCGCAAGCUCGGCCCGCAUCGCGGCCGCAUCGCCCCCGCACUUCUCGCCACCAACGACCGCGGAUGGAAGGUUGCGGCACCAAAUCGCGGCUCCCGCAAAUCAGCCGCGCAGGUCCAGCUCGGCCCGCAUCACGGCCGCUUCGCCCCCGCACUUCUCGCCACCAACGACCGCGGAUGGAAGGUUGCGGCACCAAAUCGCGAAUCCGCCGCGCCCGCAAAUCGUGAAUCCGCCGCGCCAUCAAAGCCCACCGACGUUCAAAUCAAUCUCGGCAGUGGCUGCUCCCGCGGAUGGAAGGGAGCCAAGAUCGAGGCCAUAACAUAUAUGUAUGAGACAGUCAAACAUUUCGACAAUUUGCUCCAUGAAAAGCAUGUUUACAAGAUGGAUAAUGUAAAGUUCAAUCUUCAUCCGGGUGAAUUUAAUUUUCGUCAUCUAAAUGGUCCCAUGGAAUUGUGUCUUGACCAACAAGCCAUCGUGGAGCCAUACACUGUUCCAAUUCAGAUGGCGCCAUUCCCAAAACAAAUACUAUUGAACCUUGCUGAUAUUGCUGAGUUGCCAAACAGAACUUUAGUCGACAUUAUGGCUGUUGUAGUCCACUUGGGUACAAUACAUCGCACAAUGUGGGGCCCUUUCAGAAAGAUUGUUAUAAUGGAUGCUAGGGGAUAUUUACAUAUCAUUAAAGUUUGGGGUGACCUACUAAACAAAAAUGCACUCCGCUGGGCGUUGGCUAAGGAGGAUUAUGGCAUAAUAACUGGGACUAUGUUUAGACGGUUCAGAAGACAAGAGUGCCUCGAGUCUUCGGAUCAUACCGCAAUACACUUCAAUCCGUUCCAUCACAACACCCAUCAUUUUCGACCAAUCCAAAAAGCUUUGGUGGCGCUGAACAACCGUCAGUUUGCUGUGACAUUUCUUGAAGAAGAAAGGCGUAGAUAG
rnacentral:misc_RNA from 1 species